GACGGAGGGAGGACAAUGCCGGAUCAGUAGCUCUGCUUGUCACUGAAGUGGGAAAGUCAACUGUAGUCACCAUGAAGUACUAUCUCCAACUUUUGAUGAUAGUGGUGGUGAUGAUGGUCUCGGUGGGCAUGGUAAUGGCCGACCCAGAACCUGAGGCAGAGCCUCAUUUCCCGGGUGGAUAUGGUGGAUAUGGUGGUGGAUUCCGCGGUGGCUUUCGCGGUGGCUUUGGAAAUUUCCAUCGUGGUGGCUAUGGCAAGUAGAGGGUAGAGACUGUAGCUCGGCUGGACGGACACCUGAACGACACCUGACCAUGAGUACGACCAUAAUAACAAACACCAUCCACUGACGACACUCUUGAUGGAGGGCGUUUAAUCAGCACUAAAACAUUCUGCGGCCCACAUUUAAUGUGUAAUAAAAACUAAUAAAUAAUGAGCAUACCAAA